UACAGAGGUCUCAAGCGUUGUUCGGAUUCAUUGGGCGUAAAGGGUGCGUAGGUGGCGGGGCAAGUCAGGUGUGAAAUCCCGGAGCUUAACUCCGGAACUGCAUUUGAUACUGCCUUGCUGGAGUACUGGAGAGGAGACUGGAAUUUACGGUGUAGCAGUGAAAUGCGUAGAGAUCAUAAGGAAGACCAGUGGCGAAGGCGAGUCUCUGGACAGUUACUGACACUGAGGCACGAAGGCCAGGGGAGCGAACGGG
rnacentral:rRNA from 1 species